AAAAAAUUAUUCCCUGCUCAUUCCAUUACAAAACAUGAAGUUUACUCCAGAAUGACUCACUCUGUCACCAAGGGAGAAGGUAUGAUCUGCUACAUGUGUCAGAAAAAGCCUAUGAGGUAAUUUUCAUUCUCUCAACAUAUGAAAACUAUUAUUUCCUCACAUAAUGAAAAUGCAAGGAUGUAGGUGGCAAUUCCCAGAUGGACACAAAAAAAUAAAAAAAAACUCUGGUGGAUUGCUAAUCAUGUUUUGAAAAAAACAAAUGCAUUUUAAUCAUAACGAAUAUUUUCGUGUAUGGGAAGAAGGUUUUUCUCAUCUGCAGCAUCCACAUUACAUUUGGCAAUAACAGUGUAAUCCAGAAUUCAUAUGUAAGUGUUUCUCAUUUCUGAUGCUCACAUUUCAUGAUGAGUUGAGCUACACAGGAAAUUCAGGUGCCAUAAAGGGUAAGUAUCCACAUAGAGCAUAUCUUUUGCUUCCUCUGUAGUUUCAUUACUCUUUGGUACACUUCCAGAUCAUAUGAAAUACAAUAUCACUCACCAAGUUUUCUGGACCCUCAGCAUUUGAAUUAAGCACUCACAGAUGUUCCCUUUGCUCUCCUUUAAGCAUGAUGGAUCCCCUCGCUGUAGGCUCUCCACUGAGGUACAGUUGUUGUCUCACUUUGAAAGGAAUUUCAGAAAACAUUUCAGUUCAUCUGUGGAAUUUUCCAUCUGAGUGUUGUUAUUUAUUUGCAUUGUCACCAUGCACCAGAGACCAGCCACUUGCAAGGCCCCUUCUCUAAAGGUACUGAUGAAACUUGUAUGUCCCCACUACAAGUUUCCCGGAGGACUGUGACAAAGCAGAAUCUAGCAUUUUUUUAUUUUUAAUUACCUCAAGCUAAAAAGAGGGAGGGGAAAAGGAAUUACUCAGGGAAAGGAACCAUAACUGAGGAUUGUCUAGUGAAUCAGCAGGAUCAGUGUUGUAACUCUGCUGCUUGUGAAAGUGCCACUGAGAAAGACCGCUCAAACUCGAGCUCUCAAACUGGUGAAUUUUUCAAUCAGCAUUUCACAACAUCCAGAGUGGGAGCAUCUCUUUCCCAAGAUGGGAAAAGACCUCCUGAUUUUAGUCUCCAGAAACGCACACCAUGAAACAACAUGGUGUUUCAUGUGUGCUGGGACCUGCCUUGAGUGGAAGGUCAUGUAUCCAGAAAGGGCUUGGUGGGCAGGAGUAGACCUCACUUCCUUUUGCUACUGAGGAGGGACACCCACACUGCAAACCAGCUGCUGUUUGCACUCCAAAGGGCUUCUUGUCCUUGUCAAACCAGGCCCCUGUCAAACCCUCAGGGCUCAGUUUAAAGUAGCCCUUGGUGAAGAGGAGAAAUUCCAUUAUUUCAGCAGCUCACACCAGGUAAGAGCCACACAAACCACAAGGCCACCAUCAGACCCAUGUGCUGAGAAAUACUGAACCACUCUGGAAAGUGUGGGCUGCUGCACAGAAAGCUAUGCAGAAAUAAGCUCAUGGCUUGUGUGCACACUCCAGCAACCCUCAGAGAGCAAGCAAAAUUAGAGACACAGCUGGAAGAGGAGUCCCAUCCUCAGCAGCAAGGCUCAAUUUCACAGCAGUAGGCAAGCAACUCAUUUACUCUCCAAACCAGCACAGACUGAGGUGGCACAGCACAGAUUUGCUGCUCUCCUGGUUUAAAGAAUCCCACCUCGAGGCACAAGCAGGACCCAAAAGGAACAGAGCCUCCCCACAACAGGAACCCAGCACAUCGCUGAAGAGGCACAGCUGCCCAGACAGCCAUCAUCACCAUCAUCAUCAUCACCAUCAUCACCAUCACCAUCAUCACCAUCAUCAUCAUCACUAUCAUCAUCAUCACCAUCAUCAUCAUCAUCCUAGCAUCUGCCCACGCCAGAGCUGCGCAACAAUUCCUCUACCACCCUGAGUCUAAAUCCAAUUCUGGGCUCAAAGAAGCAGCAGAGAAUACCACCAGAAGCCAGUGCUAUGGGCCAGAACGCCUCUCUUGCUCCUCAGAGCAGCAGGACUCCCCUCCAGCUCCCACUCUCAGUGCAAAGCAUCUGCAAAGCCUGCCAUGAGAGCAACCAGAGCAUGUUCCAGAAGCUGGGACCUUGCAGGGCAGCUCAGUGCCAGGGACACAGAAAGGGCUGUCCUCCAGCUUUCCUCAGCAACAAGAGCAGUGAUGUCCACAGAGCUACGGGAAACAGCAGAGGAAUAUAACUCCUGGGCUGGCUUUCAUACACAUUUCCCUUCUCUCUGGCAGAUGGGUUUGAACUUUGAUUUCAAGCCUGCACCUUCAGGUGCUCUGAAGGGUGAUAGGACACCAGACACCAUCAAGGAGCAGGAGCAGCCAGAGCAUGGCUGGCAUGGAGCUUGGGCUCAGUGACUGUAGCAGAGUCACAACAAGAUGUGCUACCUGUGGGGAUUUGGGGAUGCAGGUAAUCAGCCAGAUUUAAGAAAGUUUUGCAGAUGUCACCUCUGCAGGGUUUUAAAAAAAAAUGUGGCACCUGUUCCAAAUGGGAAAGUGUUCCUAGAGGAAAUAUUUUUCAGAAGAGAUUAAAAAGAUUUUGACAAUUCAACCUACUUUCUUCCAGUUCUUGGAUAUUUACUAGCUUAGUACCAUUUUCUCCACCCCUGAGAAUUUACACAGCCAAGGCAAAAAGCCAAUCCAAAUACUCAAUCUGACUCUUCCAACUGAAAAAUGCCAUGAAAAGAGGAACUUUUUGGGGGCAAACUCAGCUCAUGUUCAAUGGUGACUUUUAUUCAAAAUAGGCCUGAGACAAGUUUCCUCACUCUCUCCUCCCUCCUUUCAAGACUGUGCUGUCAUGGGCACCUGAGACCCCACAUGGAGUUUCUGCAGAAGUUUUAGGAGGCGAAGCACCUCGUAGGUGCAGCUUCCCCUUGCCUCAAUGGGUGAUCAAACAAGAACCUUAAGGGCCCAAUUGCCCUUGUACUCGUGCCCGUUCUCUGUGCACUGACGUCAAAUGUGCUGCACAUUUGUGCUGGCAUAAAUAGCAAGGGAGGAGAAUCAAUUCCCGUUCAGCCAAACGCAGGUCACUUCCAUCCUCUGGCCAAAAGUACUCUCAGGAUAGCAUACAAUUUGGCCCACUGAUUUUAAUAUAUUGGCAUUUCCUCCCUCUUACUGUGUGAACACAUUGUUUACAAUUUCAGUAAGCCACUUUGGAAAACACUGUUAUAAAUCAGGAUACAUAAAUGCUUGUCCUUCUUGCCUCCAGUGUCAGACAUAGCUAGUGUGGGAGUUAGGUCAAUUGGGGAUACAAAAAACCCCACCUCAAGCCUUCUUCACUAUUUCCUUAGUGUUUCAGGUGGGUUCUGAAUUUCCUCAAUACUUCUGAACUGCAAAUCUAUUGAGCAUUACAACAAUCACCCAAAAGGAGUCUUGCUCAGUGGUGAUAUUUUAAUCUAUUAAUUAAUUUCAGUAUCCCUUUAAAGUGGCCAUCACUCACACACUGAAUCUCUUGGCAGGGAGGCCUUGCUCAUUUGCUGUUUGUGUGUUACUUUAAACCAAAGAGUAAAAGGAUAAUCUGGAUCUAAUGUGUAUUCCAGAUUGGUUUGGCUGUCUUGCAGAGGGUAAGCACGGAGCUUCUCUUCAAUUAGCAGGAGAGGAGGCAAAGCUGGAAUUGCUCUAUGAAUUGCCUAUAGUAUUGACGAGACAGCGGAGGAUACGGCUGCGCUUUCCAGACCGAAAUGAGUCACCUGUUGUCUGCAGGAGCUCGUGCCAAGAAUGGUCAGAUUUGAGCUCAAGGGAGUGCUUUCCAGAGGACUUCAGCCAACAGCUGUUUCCCUUCAGCUGGACUGUGCUGAGAAUCUAGCCUCAAGUUAAAGCAUGAAAAGAAACGGUGGUACUAGAUGCCAAAAGAAGUGUGAAGGUCAAAUUUCCCAAUAAAAUGGAAACAUGGGUUGCUGGAAUUUUCUACCCUGCUUUUCUGCUCUUCCCAGUGUAGAGUGGUGACCCUGUCAGGCAACCAAUCGACCAAUGGAGAGUGCUGGAAAGUUCCUGCUUCUUCAGGAACAGAUCAGAAGAUGAGUCAUUAAUACAUAUGUUCAACCCAGUUCAGAUGCUCAAGCAGUUUAACAGUCCAGGAAUUGUUUGGGAGAGCAAUUUCCAUUGUAGCCAGUGAGAAGACUAAAGUAAGGAUGAGGAUAUGUUAGAUCAGUGUCCUGCUCCAUCACAGACUACCUCUCAGCAUGUUGCUUAUUGCUGACCUCCUCAUAGCAUUAUAGAUGCCUGACCAGCCCAUCCAGUUUUGGUGGGAGCUUGGUGCUCUGAAUCUUCAUGGAUCUGGAGUUUAGUCAGUUUAGCCACCUUUUAGUGAAAUUAUGAAAAAUGUUUUCCUCCUCUAUAUAGGAGUGACUGUGAGAAUAGCUGAGGAGCACAGAGCUCCUCCCCACUUAAGGCCACAGCAGUGAACUGUCUUCCUUGCACAGCCUGCAGCAAUUUUAGCACCCAUGACAAAAUCCCAACCAGAGCCCACACUGUGCUCUCUAAAUGGCAACUCACUGCAGAGAAACUGCACUUGAAAUCCUUCCCAUCACCAACUCACAAACAUAAGCUAGUUUUGUGCAGAAUCUUAAAGGAAAAACCUAAUUAUUUCCACUGCAAUUAUCACCAGUAGCCUUCACAUGGUCAGUGUAGGAUGCAAGAGCAAAUCUCCUGCCUAGCAGCUGUAACACUUGGCCAGAUUCUGCAGAGAUUACAGCAAUCCAGUGCCUAGCAGGGCAGCUUGCUCUUAUUCUCUGCCCCUUCCCCUCCUAGAGGCACACAUGACUACCACACCUAUCAUGCUUUUUAACAUCUUCACCUCUUUGCAAAGGAGCCAGAGUGGCUUGUAUCUCAUUUCAAGAAACCUCCUCAACCUGCCUCCCAGAGACUCGUGAUUCCCAACAUGGACAGAGAGCAGAAAGCGACUAUAAAACAUUAAUUUCUGUGUAAAGACUGAAAACAAUUUGCAAAGACUGAAUUAUUUUUUAAAAAUUAUCACUGAUUCAAAAGAAAGGCAUUAUUCAUCAUCUUUCAUAGACUUUAUAACCAGGAUCACUGAUCAUGUCUGACUCCUAGUAAAGCACAGGUCAGUGAUUUCAUCCAGUGAAGCCUGUGUCCUGCCCAUGCAUGCAAAAUGAGCUUCCCAAUUAGUACUGGUUAGAGCCUUCCAGUGCAGUAUCAGGAAAUGCUAUUUCAUUGGAAGUGAAAUGUGUCAGCUCCAAUUACCAUUUCAUUUUGAAAAAAGUAUCAGUCUACAGAUUUCCAGGACAGGCCAAGUGUAAAAUUUUCUUUUUCCCUUUUGUGAUAGCUUUUAGUGUAAUUUUUUGGAGGAAUAUAGAAGCAUCAAAACAUAAAAUAUUUUGAUGAAUAUCCAGUUUUCACAUGAAAAUUAAAUAAGUAUGUUUACUCUUCUCUUCAGAAAAAUGCCUCAUUCUCACAGUGGCAUCAAAAAACCAAACACAAGAUCAUAUAGACAGUCAUGGGACUAGCAAAUAUAAGGUAACAUUCACAUUCCCUUUUAUGCAGUAACAACAUGUUUACACCCACAUAAGUAAAGGCAGUGAGGACAAAAGCCAGUUGUAAGUCCCUCAAAAUCUCUUAGAAGGAAACUCAUUGGCUAAAACACGUGUGUGAUGCUCAGCCAGAAAAAUAUUUUCUUCCCUGUAUUCAUGUUGAUGGGAAAGAAAUGCCAUUCCUGAGACAUAAAAAAGACUACUUACUCAUUGAAAGUUCUAGUGCAUUUUCACCCCCUAUGUCACAAAGCCUUACUUACAGACAUCAAAUGAUCUAAUUAUUGAAAACUUCUUUAAUACAAGUUGCUUUGAGGGUUUCCCAGAGUGUUCAGAGUUUCCUUCUAAAGAAUUUCCAAAUUAUAACACAGUGACUAAUUGAACCUGCAUCUGCAACCCCAGCUUUUGGCUGUCUGGGACAAUCAUAAGGAAGCUUCACAGUGCAGUGCAUUUUCAGGGAUAAUACCUAACAAAGAUUUUCUUAUUUGUCCAUUUUCUUAUUUUCCAACUUGCAGUUUAUAUCACUACAAUUUUACACACAGAAACUUCAAAGGAUUUUAAUUUAAAGAGGGAUUUUCA
ensembl:lncRNA